GGGUGCGUAACGCGUAUAGAAUCUGCCUUGUACGGGAGGAUAGCCUUUAAAAAUGAAGAUUAAUACUCCAUAGUGUUGUGAACUGGCAUCAGUUUAUAAUUAAAGAUUUAUCGGUGCAAGAUGACUAUGCGUCCUAUUAGCUAGAUGGUAAGGUAACGGCUUACCGUGGCGACGAUGGGUAGGGGGUCUGAGAGGAUUAUCCCCCACACUGGUACUGACACACGGACCACACUCCUACGGGAGGCAGCAGUGAGGAAUAUUGGUCAAUGGAGGCAACUCUGAACCACCCAUGCCGCGUGCAAGAAGACUGCCCUAUGGGUUGUAAACUGCUUUUAUACAGGAAGAAACAGAACUACGUGUAGUUCCUUGACGGUACUGUAAGAAUAAGCACCGGCUAACUCCGUGCCAGCAGCCGCGGUAAUACGGAGGGUGCAAGCGUUAUCCGGAAUCAUUGGGUUUAAAGGG
rnacentral:rRNA from 1 species